CAGCACUUAAAGGGAAAGGAAAGGAGAAAGAAAAGCAAAAAACGCUCCGCUUCUCUUUUGGGUCUAAUUUGAAAACUUCUUUGGCAAAGAUGCGAAAGAAAGUAAAAAUUAGAACUCCCUUUUGUAUUUUGUAUUUG
rnacentral:ribozyme from 14 species